CCGGGAUCCCCACAUCCCUUUGCGCGGUGUCUGGAGGGGUGGGUGCUGUCCAGCGGUCAACAAAUGACUGAAUGAAGAAGCCACGGUGCUCAACUCUGGCGCUCCCCCCCCCCUGAAUCAGUUUCCACUCUGUGAUCUGGAACAAUGUCCCGCCCACAGCACGACGUCACGAGUAACAGCCUAUCACGUUGAAGGCUGCUGUGUACACAGACGGUGGACGAGGGUAGCGCCAUUUAACGGGUGGAGCUGUGUGUCGAAGGCUUCUCUCUGGAGGUCUAACAAGUUAAGAGCGUUUUGUGUUGGCCCCUGAGCCUCUCUUCUGAUUGGCUGAGUGUUCCCUGAGUGAUGCAGGCCAUGGCCAACCACAGUAUUUUCUGUGGUGAAAGAAGUUCAAUAUCACUGCAGGGAACGAGAGUGUGCUUCAGCUGGACUCUUCCCAACAAAUUUCUUCAUCUGUUUAAUCAAGAAAUAGUCACUGGUCUGCAGCUACAUUUCAGAAAUAACA